rnacentral:rRNA from 1 species
CCUACGGGAGGCAGCAGGGAGGAAUAUUGGUCAAUGGACGAGAGUCGGAACCAGCCAAGUAGCGUGAAGGAUGACUGCCCUAUGGGUUGUAAACUUCUUUUAUAAAGGAAUAAAACGAGGCACGUGUGCCUUUUUGCAUGUACCUUAUGAAUAAGGAUCGGCUAACUCCGUGCCAGCAGCCGCGGUAAUACGGGGGAUGCGAGCGUUAUCCGGAUUUAUUGGGUUUAAAGGGUGCGUGGGCGGGCGUUUAAGCCGGCGGUAAAAUGUCGGGGCUCAACCCCGGCCUGCCGUCGAAACUGGGUGCCUGGAGUGGGCGAGAGGUAGGCGGAAUGCGUGGUGUAGCGGUGAAAUGCGUAGAUAUCACGCAGAACCCCGAUUGCGAAGGCAGCAUACCGGAGCCCAACUGACGCUGAGGCACGAAAGUGCGGGUAUCGAACAGGAUUAGAUACCCGGGUAGUC